rnacentral:rRNA from 1 species
UACGAAGGGGGCUAGCGUUGCUCGGAAUUACUGGGCGUAAAGCGCACGUAGGCGGUUGGAUAAGCCCUCCGUGAAAUCUCCAGGCUUAACCUGGAAAGUGCAGAGGGGACUGUUCAGCUAGAGGAUGGGAGAGGAGCGCGGAAUUCCCGGUGUAGCGGUGAAAUGCGUAGAGAUCGGGAGGAAGGCCGGUGGCGAAGGCGGCGCUCUGGAACAUUUCUGACGCUGAGGCUCGAAAGCGUGGGGAGCAAACAGG